rnacentral:rRNA from 1 species
UACGUAGGUGGCAAGCGUUAUCCGGAAUUACUGGGCGUAAAGCGCACGCAGGUGGUUUGCUAAGAUUGACGUGAAAGCGCCUGGCUUAACUGGGCGAGGUCGUUGAUGACUGGCAGACUUGAGGCGAGGAGAGGGGUGUAGAAUUCCCGGUGUAGUGGUGGAAUGCGCAGAUAUCAGGAGGAACACCGAUGGCGAAGGCAGACCUCUGGGCCGUAACUGACGCUGAGGAGCGAAAGCAUGGGGAGCGAACAGG